ACGGAAGGCAGCAGUGGGGAGUAUUAGGCAAUGGGGGCAACCCUGACCUAGCAACGCCGCGUGAAGGAAGAAGGCCUUCGGGUUGUAAACUUCUUUUAUAGGGGACGAAACGAAUGACGGUACCCUAUGAAUAAGCCACGGCUAACUACGUGCCAGCAGCCGCGGUAAUACGUAGGCGGCAAGCGUUGUCCGGAUUUACUGGGUGUAAAGGGCGCGUAGGCGGGAUGGCAAGUCAGAUGUGAAAUCCAUGGGCCCAACCCAUGAACUGCAUUUGAAACUGUUAUUCUUGAGUAUCGGAGAGGCAAGCGGAAUUCCUAGUGUAGCGGUGAAAUGCGUAGAUAUUAGGAGGAACACCAGUGGCGAAGGCGGCUUGCUGGACGAAAACUGACGCUGAGGCGCGAAAGCGUGGGGAGCAAACAGGAUUAGAUUCCCUGGUA
rnacentral:rRNA from 1 species